rnacentral:rRNA from 1 species
GACGAACGCUGGCGGCGUGCCUAAUACAUGCAAGUCGAACGCACUCUCGUUUAGAUUGAAGGAGUUUGCUCCUGAUUGAUCAACAUUUGAGUGAGUGGCGGACGGGUGAGUAACACGUGGGUAACCUGCCCUAAAGUGGGGGAUAACAUUUGGAAACAGAUGCUAAUACCGCAUAAAACCUAACACCGCAUGGUGUAGGGUUGAAAGAUGGUUUCGGCUAUCACUUUAGGAUGGACCCGCGGUGCAUUAGUUAGUUGGUGAGGUAAAGGCUCACCAAGACCGCGAUGCAUAGCCGACCUGAGAGGGUAAUCGGCCACACUGGAACUGAGACACGGCCCAGACUCCUACGGGAGGCAGCAGUAGGGAAUCUUCCACAAUGGGCGAAAGUCUGAUGGAGCAACGCCGCGUGAGUGAAGAAGGUUUUCGGAUCGUAAAACUCUGUUGUUGGAGAAGAAUGGAUCUGAUAGUAACUGAUCAGGUAGUGACGGUACCCAACGAGAAAGCCACGGCUAACUACGUG